GUGCUUCAUGUGUUGGUGGGUUUAAUGAUAUUAACUACUAGCUUGUUCCAUUUUCUAUGUGCUUUUUUCUUUUUCUUUGAGUCUGAUCUUGAUUGUUAUUGUAGCAUCAAUGCUUGAAAUAACACUAACUUCACUUUUUGGUAUUUCUAUUUCUUUCAAGAAGUUUGGUGUAUGGUACAUUCGUCAUAUGGCUUACAACUGCACAGCAGUGUUGAAGCUCUGUUUGAAGAGUCAUUAGUGAAUAAGGCUUUGAAGCCCAUUCAUGAAAAAGGUACAAGGUAAUUGAGGAAGUUAGGGAUGGUACCUUUGGAACUGUAUGGCAAGCUAUAUACAAGCUAACUGGUGAGGUGGUUGUGGGUUUGUUGUAUAUGAAGUUCGAUCAAUAAUGGUAACUCCCUCUUCUUUUUGUUGCAUUGUAAAAAGAAAUACAUUUUCUUGGUUUGCUGGUUGUAGGUGGUUUAGCUGAAAAUCAUAUCUACUUUGCAAACCAUGUCGAGAUUUCUGGACGUUGUUAUAUUAAACGUAAGGCGUGUUUGGAUGCAAGGCAUGCUCAGUUGAAUUGAACUAAAGGGAACAAAGAAAAAUGGAAAAAAUAAAAUAAAAUCUUGAAUCAGAGAUAAGAUGAUGUAAGGAAAAGCAAGAACUGUUGAUUGUUUAAGGGAAAGAUUGCUUGUAGAGAGAGUGACUUCAAAGGCUACAAAAGAAGAUGCAUAAAUCAUGGGUAAAAAGGUUAUUGACUAUUUUAACAAGGCACUGGAGGGCUCAAGUAUAGAUCUGUCAUAAGCCAGUAUCUCUGUGUAGAUUAAUCUUGGGAAACAAACAAUUACAUGACGGCCACUGCUAAGCAAGAAAUCUUGAAGGAAAAAAGAACAGCUAGAUGGAAAGGUAUUGCCUCCUGCAAAAUAGAGAGAAAUGUAAAGGAGAUUGGUGCAAAGGGAAGAGGAUCUUUGUAGCAUGUGUCAGAUUUGGGAUAUUCAUCAGUUAGGGACCAGACUCACUAAAAAAAGGAUGAUGACAUUUUCUUUGUAUUCUCAGCAUUAUUGUAAUUGUAAUUGUAAUUGAUUGAAUGAAGGAUUGUAAUUGAUUCAUUAUUGAAUGAAUGAUUGUAAUUGAAUGAAU